UGGUGGUGGUGCCAAAGCUGGCAGGCAUGGGCACUGCGGGUGGGAAGACCGGCUGCCCUGAGGGACCCACGUGUCCCCACACCACUUACUGCUGCUGCAGGUACACUUUGCAGGGCCCUUGCUGCCUGCACUGGGCAGGGCCAGGGAAACAGAAGCGAUACUAUGGGGCCAGGCAUUGAGAUGCUGCAAGCAUCCCCAGGCAUGACCCUGCACAGCACAGCCAAAACCUUGCUCGAAAAACCUCCAAGCCUCGCAGAACUGCUCAUCAGGGUCCAGGAACGAGUCAGACUGAGGCAGGCUCUGCCGGCACAUCCAGUGCGAGUAGUGGGGGCUGCACAUCAGUUACCCAGUGAUGUCACAGCCCAUGGACUGCCCACUCGCACAGCAUCCACCUAUGCUGCAGGCGCUACCGGGCGGCCGGUUAGCUCAGUUGGCUAGAGCGUGUGGCAGAGCGUGGUGCUAAUAACGCCAAGGUCGCGGGUUCGAUCCCCGUACGGGCCAAGCAUGAGUUCAGAUGCGGUGGCAUAUCAAAGGCAAAAGGCCUUUAAAGAGUCCCGGAGCUUUCGGCUCAGUGCCCCGAGAUGGCCAAGAAGGCCAAAAGCAAAUGUAAUGGUGUGAAUGAGGACUGGACACGGGUUCCUUUUUUCUCCCUUUUUUUCUUUUUUCGACUGAGGUCUUUCGAGUUCUGGCGUUCAGGACAGCCUGUGGUGUGGAGUCUUUGCCAUUUCGCCUAGAAGUUACGUUAGAACUGAAAAAGGCUGCAAAAGGAAUUACAGAGAUUGGAGCUGAAAAAAAAAUGUGAAAAACAAUUCAGUGCUCACACUGGCAUUCAUGUUUAAUUGCAGGUGUUAACCAUCCAUCUUAUCUGUGGAAGAAGGACUGAACAUGAGGUUAUAGAAGAGUAUGAGAAGACCGAGUGAGGAUUUUAGAUAACAACAGAUCAGGUUUGGAAACAGGUUCCUCACACUAGUCUGUCUGCUCCAUGUGUUCUUAUGGUAUAUCUACUACCUAGUCUGUCAGAGGCCAUAGGCUGUCUAAGAGGAGUUCUAGAACUAGAAUAUUAACAUGAAUUAUAUAAUGAAAAUAAAUGCAGUUGAUGCCGUGCAUUUUUUUUCUUUGGCUUCCAUUCCUGCCAAUCUUUUUUUCUCCUAGAAAUGCUAUGGGUACAGUGUUUUGGCUUGAGGUUGAUAUUUUGAUAUGUUCCAGUCCUGGUCCAAGAGAUGCAUACUGAAACUCACACAGUCUCUGCAGGAUUUCAGAAUACAGUUCCUUAUUAUUACCACUCUGUUCUGCGUUAUGUAAGUGCAAUGCUUACAUCAGACAACUUCAGAGAUGUUAAAGAGAAAUUCUUUGAAUAUAUACUAUGGCCAGGAAGUGAUUGUUCUUAUGGGAUAUGAAGUUAAGCUUUUUUUUUUUUUUUUUUUUUUUUUUUCCCCCUAAGUAAUCUACAGAUAGGACACCUACAAAGAUAACAUUUGAUAAGGUGCUGAGCUGAAUGCAGAGUCACCUCCAGUUUUCAGGCAUUGGAUGUACGUGGGAUAUAUUUGUUAAUUUCCAAAUAAACUUUUUACACAUUCCUCUCUGUUCUACAAUGACACUUCAGAAGAAGAGAAUUUAGUUUAGAACUAUAACUCCAAAUGACUUUCCUCCAAAGUACUUUAAUUCUCCAUUAGAUAAAGACCUUGAUGGGACGCCUGUUUUCUCAGGAUUGUUUUAGACUCUGACAUUCUAAAAGGGCAUAUUUUAAAAUAUAAAGGCUGAAAUAUGCAUGUGUAGAUUUUUUUCUUCAAUGAACUUCAUGCAAGAGCAGAAUUACUUUAACGUAAAGGGAUUAUUACUUAAGGAACAGAUACACCUAGAUUGUGUUGGUUACCUUAAAAUAUUGAGGCCAAGGCACGUGAUUUACACUACUUUAUAGAAAUUAUGUGUCUUCUGUAGUUAAUCACAGAACUCUGUAGAGGUCAGCUGUCUUCAUAGUUUCAAAAAUAUAACCCCAGACAGUCCAGGCUUGAUCUCAAAACAAAACAAAACAAAACAAAAAACAAAACAACAAAAACCAGUGUAACCUCAUUAUGAUCAACAUGAAAAAAAGGGUUGCUCAGACACAGUUAUUAAAAACAACAUAUCCUUCAUUUUGGAAGGUGACUAUGGCAAAAUUUCAGCACAUCUGUGUCACAAAUAACUCUCAAUUCUUUAAACUUUUGUAAUGUAUAUUCACAGUUUCAGAGCCAGAAAGAACAUUAACUCAUCUAGUCAGACCAAAGGCCAGGGAAUUCUGUGCAGUUACUAUUGCGCUGUCCAACCACACAGGCUGUGGGCUAAGGCCUGUCUCUGGAACAACAACCCAGCUUGCAUGAACAACAUUAAGAGAUGGUGAAAGUGUCCUUUUCUGGAUUAACUCAGUCAGUAAUUAAUCUCUUGCAGUGUUCAAUAUGUAUUUCUUGUUUCUAACUUAAAUAUUCGUAUCUUCAUUUGGCAGCUCACUGUUUUCCCCUUAGGAAGGUUAACACACCUCAAAAACACAUGCAGUUUUAGGAAGACAUAUCCAUGACCACUGCAGAACCAUGAAGAAAUCACAAUUCAGUCUGAAAACUGGCAAGUUUUUUAACAAGGGAUUAGCUGAUGCUCCUGUACUUUCAAACUUUACAUGACAAAACCCUCCUUAUCUAAAAUCACAGCCUGUUCCAAACACUGACUAUUUCAAAUCCAGGCUUCAGAGUGCUAAGAAAGAGAUUUGCUUAUCAUUAGUACUAUCAUUUGCUGUACAUGUGGGUUCCAGGGCAAAAGGGAGAACUCUAUUUAGCAAGCAAUGAUGUAAAACAAAAAUUUAUCAUUAAAACUGAAUAACACUGACAAACUGAAAUUAUUCUCUCAUUGGAAGCUGCUGUCUGUGUUANUCAUCUUUCUUGUGGGCAGGGGAAAAAAUCUUUUCAAGGGUCCUAAAUUAACCAGGAGGGUCAUAUGAAAUAAGAUUUGUGCAUCUCUCAGAAUUAAGAUUUGUCAUUGAAUCUUUGGACCUCAUUGCACCUAAUUUCAUUUGCAGAACAGAACUCUUGUGAAUACUUGGCCAGUAGGUGUGGGUACUGGGGGAAGGUCACAGAGGAAAAGAGCACAACAGCUCUUUCAGUGCAGGCAUCUGUGAUCCCACUAGGGAGAGCUCAUGCACUGCUGUCUCGCUGAAAUAACUGCAAAUACGAUCAAUUUAUUUAUUUAUUUUAUUUUAUCCAUUUUUAAAUGUAAUAUUACAACAGACACACGAGGCCUGAAGCACAUGCAUCUAAUAUUUAAAAGGGCAGAAUACAGCAGGAAAUGUUUAGGAUGUUUCUGCUUAUACCCUUCUUGUUGUAAUCAGGUUUGCCAUUUCUUUUCUGAGCUGUAAAUGUUCAUAACAAAAUCAGAACAGAGGCAUCUAUUGCAUACAUCUUGUUUUCUCUCUCCAUCGUUUUUUAAGUACAGAUGACUGCCACCUUUCUCACCUCCACUCCUUGUAUACACUUCUCAGACUGGGAACCAGUCUCUCUGUGCCUGCUUUACUUACUUAUCUGUAAAACUGGGAUAAUGAUUAUUUCUACACCUGCCUUCACUAGGUGGUUGACAGAGCCUUCAAAGCAGAGGCCAGAUGUGGGAUCACUUUCAAUUGCAGCCCCCUGCUUUUUCUGCAUCCUGAAUAAGUCAUAAUCUGAAGCAUAUCACCAACACAAAAAGGAAAUACUAGGUAUUGUAUGGGGAAGAGGUCAGUACUUCACAGUAAAUUCGGGUAAGAGAAGAGUGAGAUCAUUUUCCAAUCUUGGAAAGCUGUCUCACAGUAAAGUACUAUUUCCAUCUGGGAGUAGAUAGUGGUGUUUCUGAUGCAAGCCCUUCUAUAGCAAACAUAUUCACUACGGAACUGUGAAAGCUGCUACAAACCACCAGAGGCUGCUAUUACCAAAUAUAAAAAACAACAAACCAAUAAAAAUAAAUAACCAAUGAAAUACUCUUAUCCAUUAUAGGACAAGGUAGUCGUCUUUCUUUCUGUAUGUAUUUCCCUCCUACAUUUUUUGCCCAUAUCUUUCAAAACGUAGAGCCAAGCCAAUUUGGAAAGAUGAAAAGAUCAGGAAAAACAAGGAUGUUGGGCCCUUCAAGUUUAAAUGUAUGAAGAGGAAACUUUGCCUGUCAGUCUAGGGUCUUGUGGGGAAUCAAACUGCCUGUAUGUUUUGUUUCCUCUCCUUUCUCACAUGGAUUGCAGUCUUUUAUUAUACUUCUUUGUAUAUGGGGCAGAAUAGUGACCACUUUCACAAACCUGGAGAUGUAAACGAAACAGAUUGCCUCAGAGUAACAUUAGUAACAUUUCCCAAUGCACAGAUCUGAAGGAGUUGAGGCCAGGCUCCCAUACAAGACCUCUGAUACCCCAGCCCUGGGCACUGCCAUACCAUUGCCACACCUGUAGCCUGGGGAUUCUGCAGCUUGUAGUUUUCCUAGAGCAGCUCACUACUGCAUUGUCAAAGCCUGUAAAGGUGGAGCAGUUAGGCUCUGUCACCAGAGAUGGUAAUGUGUAUUGCCUUCUGUGUCUGACCUGGGGUGUUGAGGAGAUUUUCAGUCGCCUUGACAGAUGAACCAGGACCUGCAGGUAUGAUGUGGUGUUGGGGCCCCUGCUUAAGCACAGCAAACUUUUGUAAAUUUAUUCACAGCAAGGGCUCCUCCAGUCAAAUCCUGGCCUGUACUCCAUGCACAUGAACAGGAAUGAAACCUUGCUGCAAAAGCUUUGAUUUCUGAUAUUCAGCAAAACCCAAAGUGGCUGGCCUUCCUGAUGGAUACAGUAAUACUUGGACUAUUUAUUGCUCUCUGUUUCUAAAUGAUAAGGUAAAAAGGGGCAAAGUGUUCUUCAACAGCAAUAGCAUUUCGAAAAACAGAAAUCUCCAUCCUCUUGUUGACUCACUGCGUCAACUCUUAUUGUAGUCACACACUUUUACAUGACUACCCACACUCAACUGCAAAAUUCAGCAGCCUCUUCACUAAUGAAAAUAAAGUUCACCUGUAGAAACUAGAUAAAUCCCUGCUUGCAGGUGCAAAACAAACACAAAACAGAACUACUUUUCAGAAAGUAGGAAAGGAAUAUAGCCAGUAUAAUGUAUCAUAAGAAGUUACUCCUUCAUUUAAGUGGAAUAUUAAUUAUUCAAUUUCUCUGGAGUUCCUGCUAUCAAAACUGAGGAGCCUUACACUCCUUUUAACAUCUCCCAGUAUCAAAUCUUGUGGCACUGUCACAAAUCUGCAGUAAAGGACAGUAAAGUUUCACUUAAAUUACUUGCGAUCAAUUGCUACCAGUUGCUGUUGCUCCUCCAGCUUCCUGUUCUUGACUAAACUUUGACAAAUCUCUCUUACAAUAUAUUUUUCAUUCCAGAGAUUCAUGGUUCUACAUUAGAUAAGGGUAGAAACCCACACCAGCACAAUUAGAAGCAUUCUUGCUCAGACCUCCAGGUUUAAUUCUAUCCACAAUAUUUUUGCUCCUUUACAAACAACAUGACCACUCUUCAAAAUGCAAAUAAAACCAAAUUAUGCUCAGGCAUGUCCACUUGCCCCUGCUUGGCUCCCUUUCUCUUCACCAGACCAUGUAUCUGAUUUUCCAAGAUCUGAAUUCUGGAGCAGAAGGGGAGGAAAGAGGGUAGGGAACUUCUUAUUAAGGCCUCAUCAGUUUUGUAUACUGUGAAUACAGUAUACUGGACAUUAAAAUCUGGUCUCUGGCUCCUAAUAGAGAAAGUAUCUGUCCAAAAGAGAAAGGGAAACAAACAAAUUCCAAAAGGAUUACGUUAAACAACAAGGUACUCUGUAGGAAUCUAGUGGAAAGAAGAGGAAAUAAGCUGAAAGGGCUAAGAGACAAGCCUGAACAUUUUACAUAUGUUGUCUUAUUGUGUAUGGGAAAAAUUCUGUUAAAAGUAAAUGGAAGGGGCAUUCCUCAAAGUGGAAAAGUAGUAAUGGUCUGCAGCAGUAAUGGAAAUGAAAAUCCGACCUACAUAACAAUUUUUAAGCAAGUCUGUUCCCAUCACAUCUCGGGAAACAGAUGCCAACCUUGUGAUGAAAAAGAUCGAGCUCAGAGAGCGAAAGUCUUUGCUUUCAAGCUUCCUUUUAAUGGAAGGUGAGAAUUGUUUUAAAAUUAAGAGUUAGCUGGAGGCUAAGAAAUGGAAGUCUGCUUCAGAGUGAUCUGCACAUGUAAAUAGAUAAUAUAUUCCUCAAUAUUGUGCAUGACCUGGCUGGGGAGCUGAUCCAACACCAAAUCCAAGGCAAGUUGUAGUAGCUAGCAGAACAGCUGAAGAGAAGAAGCAGUGUGGGGAGAUGAUGCCAGAAAAAUGGAUCAAACUGCCGCAGCAGCAUUGCUUUAAUUUGGGCUUUGAUGACCUGCAGGACUUAUGACUUCACCCUCUGCUUGAUGCUCCUCAGCUGCAAGUCCUACUUCAGGAGGGAGCAAAUGUCUGUCUAACCUUGCAAGGACAUCCUCAGCAAAAAGAAAAAUUAGGAGAGGUCUGUAAAGUAGCAAGUUACUGCAGCCAUCAAGUACCAGGCAUCCCUCCAACAAACUUUCUCUUUAAGAAAAUAUUUUAAUAAUAUUUUGAUAAUCUAUCUUCUUU